rnacentral:rRNA from 1 species
UACGGGGGGGGCAAGCGUUGUUCGGAAUUACUGGGUGUAAAGGGUUCGUAGGUGGCCAACUAAGUCAUACGUGAAAUCCCUCAGCUUAACUGGGGAACUGCGUCUGAUACUGGUUGGCUUGAGUGCAGGAGAGGAACGCGGAAUUCCAGGUGUAGCGGUGAAAUGCGUAGAUAUCUGGAGGAACACCGGUGGCGAAGGCGGCGUUCUGGACUGCAACUGACACUGAGGAACGAAAGCCAGGGGAGCAAACGGG